CUGGCACCUUCCAAAGUAGACAUUGUGGUUUUUUCAGCACUCUGGCCAAAAAACGUUGCCUACCCCUGGUCUAGUCCCUUUGCACAGGGUGAAUUGCACCUUUAGUUACCAUUAUUUUGAAGUGUAGGCCAGGGGUUCUCAAUCCCCAGGCCACGGCCCAGUGCUGGGCCAUGGCAGGUCGGCUGCUGGUCCUCAGCAUGGUCAGCUGCCGGACCAGAAGCGGCCAUGGACUGGCAAACCAGAGCCAGGCCAGAGCCAAACCAGAGAGGCCACGGCUGCUUCUGCAGGGCCCGCGGCAGCGCAGGGGCUGGCCCACCCCCUGCCCAAGGGUAAGGAGGAGAAUAUCCUUACUUGUCUUCUGCCCAGAAAUUCCGGCUGUGUAGUCGGCUGUGACUGCUGGGUCAUGGUUUGCUGGGCUGCAGCACAAAAACUUUGGGAACCCCUGGUAUAGGCUAUUAUAAUCCAAUAAUUGAAAUUACAGAAUCAAAAUUGCCAAAGAAGAUGGGAUAGCUUCAGUCAGUAAUUAUGAAGUGAAAGAAAGCAACUCUACUGUUUAUUUCUUCCAAGAGGAAUAUUUAAAUGGCUUUAUUCAGUUCUCAUUGUGUGUGUGUGUAGUUUUAAUAAUUUAAAUGUGAUGUUGAAAAUACAGCCUUUAUAGGGCUGUCAAGUUAAUUGUGAUCUGGUAAUGUAUCAUUUUACUAAAAACUCUCCAGGUGUGUUUUAAAAGAUCAGUGACGAUUGUGGUGAUGUUACAUUAAAAAUAAGAAUACAUCUCUUUAA